AUAUUCUGGUUUUUCUUCAGAUCAUAUAAAUCUUUUGCCUUUUACUAAAGAUUUCCAUGGAGAGGAACAGUUAUGAGCUUUACAGUAUAUAUUCAUUUAUGUUAUUUGAAUAUUA